UUUGUACUUGUAUCUAUUGGAGACAGUUUUUUGUAGCAGACACGUUGUCUGGUAAGGAGAAUAGGCAUGGGAUGUCACGACUACUCUGAUGUCCCUUCCUACGCUACUUACUAACUGCAUGGUCGCCAAAGCAGAUUGAAUGAGAGUGAGAAAGCUUUCGUCAAUCUUCUUUUGACGAUGUGUUUGGAGAGCUGUUGAAUUGUUCGCCGAAUCUGCAACAGCAAAUGUCUGCUGAAGAGGCGAUCUCUUUGCAAACGAACAGCGUUCUUUCGUUGUGAUGUCUCGUGGUUGGCUUCUGUCGGCAUGCAUUAUGCAUGAUGGGAAAAGACCUCGGAAGACUUCGUGAAAGAUAUUA
rnacentral:misc_RNA from 1 species